UACGUAGGGUGCGAGCGUUAAUCGGAAUUACUGGGCGUAAAGCGUGCGCAGGCGGUUUUGUAAGCCAGAUGUGAAAUCCCCGGGCUCAACCUGGGAAUGGCAUUUGGGACUGCAAGGCUGGAGUACGGCAGAGGAGACUGGAAUUCCUGGUGUAGCAGUGAAAUGCGUAGAUAUCAGGAGGAACACCAAUGGCGAAGGCAGCACUCUGGGACGGUACUGACGCUGAGACGCGAAAGCGUGGGGAGCAAACAGG
rnacentral:rRNA from 1 species